rnacentral:lncRNA from 1 species
AUUUUCUGAAAGUGCAAAGACAAACAAAAAUUAAAUUUUAAUAUUUCUUGUCUGUACAUAUUCUGCUGAAGUAUAUGAUAAAAAGAUAAUUACAUGUCAUUUUUCAUAUCAGACCCUUUAUCGGCCCUCGUUCAUGAUAUCAGCCCUCGAGCCUCCGGCUCUUGGGCUGAUAUCACAACCUUGGGCCGAUAAAGGGUUUGAUAUGAA